CAGUCGAGCGAGCUUGCCUAGAUGAAUUUGGUGCUUGCACCAGAUGAAACUAGAUACAAGCGAGCGGCGGACGGGUGAGUAACACGUGGGUAACCCGCCCAAGAGACUGGGAUAACACCUGGAAACGGAUGCUAAUACCGGAUAACAACACUAGACGCAUGUCUAGAGUUUAAAAGAUGGUUCUGCUAUCACUCUUGGAUGGACCUGCGGUGCAUUAGCUAGUUGGUAAGGUAACGGCUUACCAAGGCAAUGAUGCAUAGCCGAGUUGAGAGACUGAUCGGCCACAUUGGGACUGAGACACGGCCCAAACUCCUACGGGAGGCAGCAGUAGGGAAUCUUCCACAAUGGACGCAAGUCUGAUGGAGCAACGCCGCGUGAGUGAAGAAGGGUUUCGGCUCGUAAAGCUCUGUUGGUAGUGAAGAAAGAUAGAGGUAGUAACUGGCCUUUAUUUGACGGUAAUUACUUAGAAAGUCACGGCUAACUACGUGCCAGCAGCCGCGGUAAUACGUAGGUGGCAAGCGUUGUCCGGAUUUAUUGGGCGUAAAGCGAGUGCAGGCGGUUCAAUAAGUCUGAUGUGAAAGCCUUCGGCUCAACCGGAGAAUUGCAUCAGAAACUGUUGAACUUGAGUGCAGAAGAGGAGAGUGGAACUCCAUGUGUAGCGGUGGAAUGCGUAGAUAUAUGGAAGAACACCAGUGGCGAAGGCGGCUCUCUGGUCUGCAACUGACACUGAGGCUCGAAAGCAUGGGUAGCGAACAGGAUUAGAUACCCUGGUAGUCCAUGCCGUAAACGAUGAGUGCUAAGUGUUGGGA
rnacentral:rRNA from 1 species